rnacentral:lncRNA from 1 species
GAAAUCUAGCAGGGCAUCAUUAAAUCUUAUAGCUCGAAAAUAAUCUCCUUUGACUCCAUGUCCUGCAUUCUGGGCACACUGGUGCAAGGAGUGGGCUCCCAAGUUCUUGGUCAUCCCAUCCCCUGUGGCUUUUUCAGGGUACAGCCCAUGUGGCUGCUCUCAUGGGUUGGAGUUGAGUGCUGGCAGGCUCAGGAUGCAAGCUAUCUAUGGCUACUAUUCUGAGGUCUGGAGGAUGGCAGCCCCCUUCUCACAGCUCCACCUGACAGUCCCCUGGUGGGGACUCUGUGGGUCCACCCACAUUUUCCCUUGACAUUGCCCUGGUACAGUCUUUUGUGGGUGCUUCACCCCUGUAACAGGCUUCUGCCUGGGCAUUUAGACUUUCCAGCACGUCUUUUGAAAUCCAGGGGAGUGCUGCCAAGCCACCUUCACUUUUGCAUUCUGUUUGCCUGCAGGCUUAACACCGAGUAGAAACUGCCAAGGAUAUGGCAGCUUGAACUAUCCAGAGUGGCAGCCCAAAUUGUACCUUGAUGUCCUUUUAGCCAUGGCUGUAGCUGGAGCAGCUGGAAUGCAGGGAGCAGUGUCCCAAGGCUGCACAGGGAAGUGGCACUCUGGGCCUGGACCCUAAAACCAUUCUUUCCUCUUAGGCUUCAGGGUUUGUGAUGGGAGGAACUGUCUAGAAGACUUGAAGACUGCCAAAAUGCCUUUGAGGCUUUUUCCCAUUGUCUUUGAUAUUAGCACCAGGUUCCCUUUUAGUCAUGCUAAUCUCUCUAGCCAGUGGUUUCUCUGCAGCCUGCUUGGAUUCUUUCUCUACCACAGGGCCAGCCUGCAAAUUUUUCAAAUGUUUUUGCUCUACUUCUCUUUUAAAUAUAAGUCCAACUUUAAGUCAUUUCUUUGUUCUCAUAUCUGAUCGCAGGUUGUUAGAAGAAGCCAUGCCACUUCUUGAACACCUUGCUGCUUAGAAAUUUCUUCCAGCACAUACCCUAAGUCAUCACUUUUAAGUUCAAACAUCCACUGAUCCCUAGAACAUGAACACAAUGCAGCCAGGUUUUUUGCUAGGGCAUAACAUGGAUGACCUUUACUUCACUUCCCAAUAACUUUCUCAUUUCUGUCUGAGACUCCAUCAGCCUGUCCUUUGUCCAUAUUUCCAUCAGCAUUUUGGUCACAAGCAUUUAACAAGUCUCUAAGAAGUUCCAAACUUUCCCUUGGCUUCCUGUCUCCUUCUGAGCCCUCCAAACUCGUCUAAUCUCCACCUGUUACCCAGUUCCAAGGCUGCUUCCACAAUCUCAAGUAUCUUUAUUGCAACAGCUGACUCCUCAGUACCAAGUUAGUGCUACCAAGGGGAUGGAACUAAGCCGA